rnacentral:lncRNA from 1 species
ACAUGGCCACCCAUAUGCUCUGGAGCCUGGCUUACGCAGCCUCCUUCUCCAUGCCCCCUCCCCUGCAUUUGGGGCCUGAUUCAGGCAGCUUCUUUUCUUUUCUUCCCUCCCAGCCUGGCUCCUGCAGACCCCCUCUCCUCCUUGCCUCUGGCUGGUUCAUACAUCAGAUGCUUCCCACCAUCCAGGGGAACUGAGCCCAUCCAUGUGUGAUUAAUACAUUGAACUUCCCUGCUGCCCAGAGAGACACCAGAAUCAGGAUCCCAGGAUGAGUCUAAGUGAUAAGAAUACACUCAACCAAAUGCUAUAUCAACCAUAUCAACAGCAAAAUGAUGACACAUCACCAGAUUGACUGAAUUGGCAAGAAGUCUCAGUGCCAUUGAGAGAUCUUGGUAUGAAGUUAGAAUUCUUCCUUCCUCAAGGUCAUGGGACCAAGAAAUCUUGCAGUGACAGGCAUCCCUGUUUCCUGAGACACAACAACAUAGAAAUUAGACUGAUUAAUAACCUUACAAUGUCCUCUAAGUGUUCAAAAGAAGAGUCACUCAAGGCAGCAAGCUUCAUUGUUGUCUUAUUUGAAGAAUUCAUCAGGGCCACACCAAUGUUCAGUGACCUCCAUCCUGAGCAUUCAACAGCCAUUGACUUCAAGACAAAGAUUAUGAUUCAAAAAAAAAAAACUCAGAUGAAGGCUCAAAAAGCAACAUUAGUAUUUCAAAUAUCAAACAUUUACAGCAGGACAAGUAGAGAAUACGCAACAUUUUGAGAUCUUCUGGCAUAGCAAUCAGGAAGACAGGAUCACCUCCACAGCACAACAAGGCAUUGGGGUAGAGCUUUGUGGAAGAAAGUAAUUAUCAGAAGUAUGUCGGAAAGUAAUUAUCAAGGAGCAAUUAUCAGCUGGAAAUGACAGAAAUA